AUUCAGCUGACGAGUUCGGAAUAAAACGAAACGCAUGUCCUGGAU
rnacentral:hammerhead_ribozyme from 1 species